GACGAACCGUGCGAACGUUGUUCGGAAUCACUGGGCUUAAAGGGCGCGUAGGCGGGCUGUCAAGUCUGGGGUGAAAUCCCACGGCUCAACCUGGGAACUGCCUCGGAUACUGACGGCCUCGAGGGAGGUAGGGGCGUGCGGAACUGUGGGGUGGAGCGGUGAAAAUGCGUUGAUAUCCACAGGAACUCCGGUGGCGAAAGGCG
rnacentral:rRNA from 1 species